UACGAAGGGGGCUAGCGUUGCUCGGAAUCACUGGGCGUAAAGGGUGCGUAGGUGGCGCCAUAAGUCGGGUGUGAAAUCUCGGGGCUUAACUCCGAAACUGCAUUCGAUACUGUGGUGUUUGAGGACUGGAGAGGAGACUGGAAUUCAUGGUGUAGCAGUGAAAUGCGUAGAGAUCAUGAGGAAGACCAGUGGCGAAGGCGGGUCUCUGGACAGUUCCUGACACUGAGGCACGAAGGCCAGGGGAGCAAACGGG
rnacentral:rRNA from 1 species